rnacentral:lncRNA from 7 species
CGCAUGCGCGGCGUCGUCUCCGGAGCACGCGGCGUCGCCGCGGAGUGACGUCAUCACGCUGCGACCCGAGGAGGCGGCCGGGCGGCAGCGGGGCGGGGCGGCCCCGGGGCUCCGAGCGCCGCCUCAGCUUCUGCGACCCACCUUUUCCCCACUUAGAAUCGUGCCGAGGGAUCUGGAGACGUCCUAGAGAGGUUUGGGGGCAUCCAGGGGGUUCUGGACUCAUGCAGAAGAGUCUGGAGAUGUCCAAGGAGGAUCCAGGGAGUCCCCAGGUAGGUCCUGUGGGCCCCUGGAAGGGUCUGGCAGCUCCCACGAUGGGCCCAGGAGCUCUGAGGAGUCUCUGGGCUGAUCUGGAGAUGUCCCAGUAGAGUCUGUG